UACGAAGGGGGCUAGCGUUGCUCGGAAUGACUGGGCGUAAAGGGCGCGUAGGCGGUUUGUACAGUCAGAUGUGAAAUUCCUGGGCUCAACCUGGGGGCUGCAUUUGAUACGUAUGGACUGGAGUGAGGAAGAGGGUCGUGGAAUUCCCAGUGUAGAGGUGAAAUUCGUAGAUAUUGGGAAGAACACCGGUGGCGAAGGCGGCAUCCUGGACCGGCAUUGACGCUGAGGCGCGAAAGCCAGGGGAGCAAACGGG
rnacentral:rRNA from 1 species